GGGUGCGAUCAUACCAGCACUAAUGCACCGGAUCCCAUCAGAACACCGAUGGUAAACGUGCUUGGGCGAGAGUAGUACUAUGAUGGGUGACCUCUUGGGAAGUCCUCGUGUUGCACCCC
rnacentral:rRNA from 1 species